rnacentral:lncRNA from 1 species
GGGCGAGCGCGCGCUGGCGAGUGCGCGGGCGGCGCGGACCCGGACCGCAACCCUCGGGAGGGGAGCGUCUCCGCCGCCCGCCUGGGAAGCGCGAAGGAAGCGCCGCCUCGUCUUCUCGACUGUCCACUCCAUGGCUGGCUACUGCACAGCUGCGUGGGUCAGGUGGAAGCUCGGAGAAAGGCCUCCUGGACCGACGGCCCCGACCUGCGGGCGGGGAUGCUUGCUGGACUUCGGUGUGCCAAUGGGGGUGGGGGAACGGCCCUCCGGUUCCUAGGCCUACGGCUAGCCCCGGCCGAAGGAAUGCUAGUCCCGGAGGGGAGGAGCAUAUUUGCAGGCUAUCCCUUCCGCGCUGGGAGUCCCAGGGCAAUUCCACUCACUUCUUUUAGGGCAGUCCAUCAAUGGCCACUCCCUUGUUUCAAGCUGUAAAGAAGAAUCCUAGAAUCCUCCUUCCUUAUAGAAUCAAAACUCAAGUUUCCCGAUGAAGAGUUAGGAAGCUCUUCCAGAGUCAUCUGUGCUGCCAGUGCACAAAAAAGCCAGGUUUCUUCAGUUAUUCCCCUUGACUUGAGAAACCGCUAAAGAGGUGGCUUUAGGGUACCCUACCACCCCGACGGCCGACCCUGUCCCCAGAGGUUGUAGGAAAGAUACCAUCCAGGCCCCAGAGUCGUAAGACAUAAUAUUCUGUAGCUUGGUUUCAAAGGAGGAAGGCGUGUAGGGAUGGGAACCUAGAAAAACCAGCCAUGGAGGGGACCUCUUCUGACUGAUUAUCGACCCCAAGUUCAGUUCUGUUUAAUUUCUACCUUGUCAUUUCCGUAUCCCUGUGCACCUCAACUCCCGAAUUUUACUGAGGCAAAAAGACGUAAAUAACUUAUCCUGAAUCUUACACUAGUAAGGGCCAGAGCAAGAACUUGAAAUGUGUUUGUAACAUAAAAUUAAGUCCUACUGAUUAAACAGUUUAUAGGACAACUUUUACAUUCCACUCUAGAUGAUCCAGGAGUGAAGAUAAAUACUAUCAAAAACAAUUAUUUUCUUUAUAAGGGGGCUUACCACAGGAUUUUUAAAAUAGCAAGCUCUAUUGUUGAAACAUCUGUUUUGGGGACACAUUGAUUCGUCUAUAUCACAAAUAACAGCCCCCAUUAGGUAAUGCCUAGACUAUGAAACAUGCUUAGGUAUCUUCAUAAGCUAACUAAAUUCUUCACAUUGUUUCUGUUGGGUCCAUUUAAAAACAAAUAUAGUGUCAUGGUUUUC